CCUACGGGUGGCUGCAGUAAGGAAUAUUGGUCAAUGGACGAAAGUCUGAACCAGCCAUGCCGCGUGGAGGAUGAAGGUCCUCUGGAUUGUAAACUUCUUUUAUCUGGGACGAAACAAGGCUUUUCUAAGUCGUCUGACGGUACCAUAUGAAUAAGCACCGGCUAACUCCGUGCCAGCAGCCGCGGUAAUACGGAGGGUGCAAGCGUUAUCCGGAUUCACUGGGUUGUAGGUGGGUUUGGGUGUGUUGGUUGAAAUCCCCGAGCUUAACUUGGGAACUGCCAUUGAUACUAUCAGUCUUGAAUACCGUGGAGGUCAGCGGAAUAUGUCAUGUAGCGGUGAAAUGCUUAGAUAUGACAUAGAACACCAAUUGCGAAGGCAGCUGGCUACCCGAAUAUUGACACUGAGGCACGAAAGCGUGGGGAUCAAACAGGAUUAGAUACCCCGGUAGUC
rnacentral:rRNA from 1 species